rnacentral:rRNA from 1 species
GACAGAGGUGCCGAGCGUUAGGCGGAAUCACUGGGCUUAAAGCGUGUGUAGGCGGAUUCCUAAGUACCUUGUGAAAUCCCACGGCUUAACCGUGGAACUGCUUGGUAUACUGGGUGUCUUGAGCCAACUAGGGGCGACCGGAACAAACGGUGGAGCGGUGAAAUGCGUAGAUAUCGGGAGGAACACCUGUGGCGGAAAGCGGCGCACUGGACCACAACUGACGCUGGAGGCGCGAAAGCUAGGGGAGCAAACAGG